UACGAAGGGGGCUAGCGUUGCUCGGAAUCACUGGGCGUAAAGGGUGCGUAGGCGGGUCUUUAAGUCAGGGGUGAAAUCCUGGAGCUCAACUCCAGAACUGCCUUUGAUACUGAGGAUCUUGAGUUCGGGAGAGGUGAGUGGAACUGCGAGUGUAGAGGUGAAAUUCGUAGAUAUUCGCAAGAACACCAGUGGCGAAGGCGGCUCACUGGCCCGAUACUGACGCUGAGGCACGGAAAGCGUGGGAGCAAACAGG
rnacentral:rRNA from 1 species